rnacentral:rRNA from 1 species
AUCCUGGCUUAGGAUGAACGCUGGCGGCGUGCCUAAUACAUGCAAGUCGAGCGAGAACUGAUGAUGGAAGAUCGUCUGAAGAUCAAGGGAAAGCGGCGGACGGGUGAGUAACGCGUAGGCAACCUGCCCUUAGCAGAGGGAUAGCCAUUGGAAACGAUGAUUAAAACCUCAUAACGCUUGAGAGACACAUGUCUUUCGAGCCAAAGAUUUAUCGGCUAAGGAUGGGCCUGCGUCUGAUUAACUGGUUGGUGAGGUAACGGCUCACCAAGGUGACGAUCAGUAGCCGACCUGAGAGGGUGAUCGGCCACAUUGGAACUGAGACACGGUCCAAACUUCUACGGAAGGCAGCAGUAAGGAAUCUUGCACAAUGGGGGAAACCCUGAUGCAGCAACGCCGCGUGAACGAAGAAGGCCUUCGGGUUGUAAAGUUCUGAUCUUGGGGAAGAAGGAAGUGACGGUACCCAAGGAGAAAGCCCCGGCUAACUACGUGCCAGCCGCAGC